rnacentral:rRNA from 1 species
UACAGAGGUCCCAAGCGUUGUUCGGAUUUACUGGGCGUAAAGGGUGCGUAGGUGGUGAGGUAAGUCUGAUGUGAAAUCUCCGAGCUUAACUCGGAAAUGGCAUUGGAAACUACCUUGCUAGAGGGUUGGAGGGGGGACUGGAAUACUUGGUGUAGCAGUGAAAUGCGUAGAUAUCAAGUGGAACACCAGUGGCGAAGGCGGGUCUCUGGGCCGUAACUGACGCUGAGGAGCGAAAGCGUGGGGAGCGAACAGG